rnacentral:rRNA from 1 species
UGAAACAUCUUCGGGUUGUGAGGUUAAGCGACUAAGCGUACACGGUGGAUGCCCUGGCAGUCAGAGGCGAUGAAGGACGUGCUAAUCUGCGAAAAGCGUCGGUAAGGUGAUAUGAACCGUUAUAACCGGCGAUGUCCGAAUGGGGAAACCCAGUGCAAUUCGUUGCACUAUCGUUAACUGAAUACAUAGGUUAACGAGGCGAACCGGGGGAACUGAAACAUCUAAGUACCCCGAGGAAAAGAAAUCAACCGAGAUUCCCCCAGUAGCGGCGAGCGAACGGGGAGCAGCCCAGAGUCUGAAUCAGCUUGUGUGUUAGUGGAACGGUCUGGAAAGUCCGACGGUACAGGGUGAUAGUCCCGUACACCAAAAUGCACAGGCUGUGAACUCGAAGAGUAGGGCGGGACACGUGGUAUCCUGUCUGAAUAUGGGGGGACCAUCCUCCAAGGCUAAAUACUCCUGACUGACCGAUAGUGAACCAGUACCGUGAGGGAAAGGCGAAAAGAACCCCGGCGAGGGGAGUGAAAAAGAACCUGAAACCGUGUACGUACAAGCAGUGGGAGCACCUUCGGGUGUGACUGCGUACCUUUUGUAUAAUGGGUCAGCGACUUAUAUUCUGUAGCAAGGUUAACCGUAUAGGGGAGCCGCAGGGAAACCGAGUCUUAACUGGGCGUUAAGUUGCAGGGUAUAGACCCGAAACCCGGUGAUCUAGCCAUGGGCAGGUUGAAGGUUGGGUAACACUAACUGGAGGACCGAACCGACUAAUGUUGAAAAAUUAGCGGAUGACUUGUGGCUGGGGGUGAAAGGCCAAUCAAACCGGGAGAUAGCUGGUUCUCCCCGAAAGCUAUUUAGGUAGCGCCUCGUGAACUCAUCUUCGGGGGUAGAGCACUGUUUCGGCUAGGGGGUCAUCCCGACUUACCAACCCGAUGCAAACUACGAAUACCGAAGAAUGUUAUCACGGGAGACACACGGCGGGUGCUAACGUCCGUCGUGAAGAGGGAAACAACCCAGACCGCCAGCUAAGGUCCCAAAGUCAUGGUUAAGUGGGAAACGAUGUGGGAAGGCACAGACAGCCAGGAUGUUGGCUUAGAAGCAGCCAUCAUUUAAAGAAAGCGUAAUAGCUCACUGGUCGAGUCGGCCUGCGCGGAAGAUGUAACGGGGCUAAACCAUGCACCGAAGCUGCGGCAGCGACACUAUGUGUUGUUGGGUAGGGGAGCGUUCUGUAAGCCUGCGAAGGUGUGCUGUGAGGCAUGCUGGAGGUAUCAGAAGUGCGAAUGCUGACAUAAGUAACGAUAAAGCGGGUGAAAAGCCCGCUCGCCGGAAGACCAAGGGUUCCUGUCCAACGUUAAUCGGGGCAGGGUGAGUCGACCCCUAAGGCGAGGCCGAAAGGCGUAGUCGAUGGGAAACAGGUUAAUAUUCCUGUACUUGGUGUUACUGCGAAGGGGGGACGGAGAAGGCUAUGUUAGCCGGGCGACGGUUGUCCCGGUUUAAGCAUGUAGGCUGAUUGUCCAGGCAAAUCCGGAUAAUCAAGGCUGAGGUGUGAUGACGAGGCACUACGGUGCUGAAGUAACAAAUGCCCUGCUUCCAGGAAAAGCCUCUAAGCAUCAGGUAACAUCAAAUCGUACCCCAAACCGACACAGGUGGUCAGGUAGAGAAUACCAAGGCGCUUGAGAGAACUCGGGUGAAGGAACUAGGCAAAAUGGUGCCGUAACUUCGGGAGAAGGCACGCUGGUGUGUAGGUGAAGUCCCUGCGGAUGGAGCUGAGACCAGUCGAAGAUACCAGCUGGCUGCAACUGUUUAUUAAAAACACAGCACUGUGCAAACACGAAAGUGGACGUAUACGGUGUGACGCCUGCCCGGUGCCGGAAGGUUAAUUGAUGGGGUUAUCCGUAAGGAGAAGCUCUUGAUCGAAGCCCCGGUAAACGGCGGCCGUAACUAUAACGGUCCUAAGGUAGCGAAAUUCCUUGUCGGGUAAGUUCCGACCUGCACGAAUGGCGUAAUGAUGGCCAGGCUGUCUCCACCCGAGACUCAGUGAAAUUGAACUCGCUGUGAAGAUGCAGUGUACCCGCGGCAAGACGGAAAGACCCCGUGAACCUUUACUAUAGCUUGACACUGAACAUUGAGCCUUGAUGUGUAGGAUAGGUGGGAGGCUUUGAAGCGUGGACGCCAGUCUGCGUGGAGCCAACCUUGAAAUACCACCCUUUAAUGUUUGAUGUUCUAACGUUGGCCCCUGACCGGGGUUGCGGACAGUGUCUGGUGGGUAGUUUGACUGGGGCGGUCUCCUCCCAAAGCGUAACGGAGGAGCACGAAGGUUAGCUAAUCCUGGUCGGACAUCAGGAGGUUAGUGCAAUGGCAUAAGCUAGCUUGACUGCGAGCGUGACGGCGCGAGCAGGUGCGAAAGCAGGUCAUAGUGAUCCGGUGGUUCUGAAUGGAAGGGCCAUCGCUCAACGGAUAAAAGGUACUCCGGGGAUAACAGGCUGAUACCGCCCAAGAGUUCAUAUCGACGGCGGUGUUUGGCACCUCGAUGUCGGCUCAUCACAUCCUGGGGCUGAAGUAGGUCCCAAGGGUAUGGCUGUUCGCCAUUUAAAGUGGUACGCGAGCUGGGUUUAGAACGUCGUGAGACAGUUCGGUCCCUAUCUGCCGUGGGCGCUGGAGAAUUGAGGGGGGCUGCUCCUAGUACGAGAGGACCGGAGUGGACGCAUCACUGGUGUUCGGGUUGUCAUGCCAAUGGCACUGCCCGGUAGCUAAAUGCGGAAGAGAUAAGUGCUGAAAGCAUCUAAGCACGAAACUUGCCCCGAGAUGAGUUCUCCCUGAGACUUUAAGUCUCCUGAAGGAACGUUAAAGACGAUGACGUUGAUAGGCCGGGUGUGUAAGCGCAGCGAUGCGUUGAGCUAACCGGUACUAAUGAACCGUGAGGCUUAACCUU